rnacentral:lncRNA from 1 species
UGCGAAGGGCCAGGCUGGGGAGAGGCUGCAGUCGCCUGGAUGGGGGAACCUCUGUGUGCCUCAGUGUCCUGCUCUGUAUAGCCCCCACCCUUGCAGCACGGACCUCGCAGGCUGCUGGGAGGCUCAGGCAGGCUGUGUAGUCUCGGUGCUGAGCCUCGGAGCGCUGGACAGCCAGACUCUCCCUCCCAGCCCCCAUCCAGACAGCCGGGGCCUCCCUGCCUGCUCUCCCGCAGGAGGUGAAGGCAGGCAUAGGCUAACCCCACCCAAAGGGGGUCCCUGCCCAAGUGGCAGAGUGGCACAAGUCCUGGAGUGGCAAAAUUUUGAAGAACAAGGCAUAUUGAGCAGGCUUGGCAGGAGGCCAGGCAGGUGCGAAAUCAAGGCUCAGGAAGUCUCUCGGUAAAGAUGGGGUUGGACCUGAACCAGGAUUCCUGAGACCUCGGACCCCAGGGCCCUUUCCUCGGGAAGCUCUGACAGAGCUCCCUCCGCAGGGCUGGUGCUCCAGGAGCAGCUUCCAACGCUCUGGGCAACCGAAUGCCUUCCACUGCCCCAGAGUGUGGUGCUUCAGGGUGCCCCUGGGCUUAAGGUUUGAUGUGGCUGCACGCGGGCAGGACCUCUUAGCCAUCAAACAGCCACCCAGCUAAAAGGCAGAGAGCAGCGCCACAGGUGACCCAGAGGAGACGCCACUCCCCAGAGGCCGAGGAAGACUCCAAGACUUUUUUCACAGGAAUCUAUUUUUCCCUAGUCUUCCCACCAUGACUGAGCGCUUUAUAAAGCACCAUUAGAUAUGACCCCAUCUCGUCUCCAGGAACCCACCAUGAAACAAGUGUCAUCACCACAUCUUACAGGUGAGGAAACUGAGGCUGGGGGAGGUGACAGGACAUGGCCAGGACC